rnacentral:rRNA from 1 species
GACGAACGCUGGCGGCGUGCUUAACACAUGCAAGUCGAACGGAAAGGCCCCUUUGGGGGUACUCGAGUGGCGAACGGGUGAGUAACACGUGAGUAACCUGCCCUUGACUUCGGGAUAACUUCAGGAAACUGGGGCUAAUACCGGAUAGGAAUCCUUGCUGCAUGGUGGGGGUUGGAAAGCUUCUGCGGUUUUGGAUGGACUCGCGGCUUAUCAGCUUGUUGGUGGGGUAGUGGCUUACCAAGGCUUUGACGGGUAGCCGGCCUGAGAGGGCGACCGGCCACAUUGGGACUGAGAUACGGCCCAGAAUCCUAAGGGAGGCAGCAGUGGGGAAUAUUGCAACAUGGGCGGAAGCCCGAUGCAGCAACGCCGCGUGCGGGAUGACGGCCUUCGGGUUGUAAACCGCUUUCAGCAGGGGCGAAGCUUGUGGUGACGGUACCUGCAGAAGAAGCACCGGCUAACUACGUG